CAGCCCACCUGCACCCAGGUGAAAUAGACAGCCAUGUUGCUCACACAAAUCCUGUUUGCUGGUCUCUUCACACAGACUCGAGUGAAAUUUGGUGCCAUGACUAGGAUCGGGGGACCUCCCUUGGGAGAUCAAUCCCCUGUCCUCCUGCACUUUGCUCCGUGAGAAAGAUCCACCUACAACCUCAGGUCCUCAGACCAACCAGCCCAAGAAACAUCUCACCAAUUUCAAAUCCGUGAUAGAUCACAACAAGAGAUUAUGAAGAGGGCAUGGCCGCCAUGUCAUUCUGGAGAGAGACAGAGUAAAACAAAGAAGACAGAGUCUUGCUCUGUAACCCAGGCUGGAGUGGAGGGCAGUGGUGUGAUCUCGGCUCACUUCAACCUCCACCUCUUAGGUUCAAGUGAUUCUCCUGCCUCAGCCUCCCGAGUAGCUGGGACUACAGCAGCCUCUCUACGAGUCUCCUAACUUAACCUCAUGGGAAAACACUUCCUACCACUAACAGCAUCUACUUGAUUACUGAUACUUUGAUCAUGGAGUUUGGGCAUGCCACUUGAUAGAAACUUGAAGAGCAAUUAUAUUUUUCAAAAAGAGCUUUGAAUAAUGUUAAGAUAGAUUGUAACAUGACUAUCAAUUCUUCCCUUCCCAUCAAAGGAGAGAGUCCAUUUAUCCAGCCUUUGAAUCUUGAUUAUUCAUGUGACUUGCUUCACCCAAUGUAACAUUAAUAAGCACAACACAAGCAGAGGCUUGCCAAGAACUUGGUUUGUUUCUAAUGCUUAGAAGAAGAAUGGUGUAUGCCAUAUUUCUGCAUUUAGAACUCACGUGGAGACAUGUGU
rnacentral:lncRNA from 1 species